UAACUUUUUAUGACCCCUGAGAGGUCUGGCAGUCAUUGCUUUUUUAAACAUUGAUUUGAAUAUUCAAACAUUCACUCACACGUGAAUUGAGAGAGAUUGGCGUUUCCCUGUGAUGCUGAACACGUACCCUGUCUCUUGCCUCCCUGCCUCUGCCCAGGCUGUGCCUUCUGCCCAUGAUGCCCUCCCUUCCACCCCAUCUGCCAAGUGGAGACAUGCUUUCUUCAAAAUGUUGUCCAACAUCACGUUCUCUGUGAAGACUUCCCUGAACCCUCCUAUGACCCUGCCAAACACAGGGCCUCCGAGUCACAUGGGCAAGGUGAGUCAUUGCUGCUCAUGGACAUCUUCCCCAGAUGCUUAAAGGGGACAGGUGCUGAUGGCAAGAUGGAAAUAACAGACGACAUCGGAGCCCCAGGAUCCAAUGUGUCUCAACACCCUUGGAUGCCUUCUCAGUCAGGUGAGCCCACAUGGGCCUUGUUUUUGGCUCGUGUUGCUUUGAGUUUGGUUUCCAUCCUUUACAACUAGAAGAGUCCUGGUAAAU
rnacentral:lncRNA from 1 species